rnacentral:rRNA from 1 species
UUUUGGACAAUGGGCGCAAGCCUGAUCCAGCAAUGCCGCGUGAGUGAAGAAGGCCUUCGGGUUGUAAAGCUCUUUUGUCAGGGAAGAAACGGUGAGCUCUAAUACAGUUUGCUAAUGACGGUACCUGAAGAAUAAGCACCGGCUAACUACGUGCCAGCAGCCGCGGUAAUACGUAGGGUGCAAGCGUUAAUCGGAAUUACUGGGCGUAAAGCGUGCGCAGGCGGUUAUGUAAGUCAGAUGUGAAAUCCCCGGGCUCAACCUGGGAAUGGCAUUUGAGACUGCAUGGCUAGAGUGUGUCAGAGGGGGGUAGAAUUCCACGUGUAGCAGUGAAAUGCGUAGAGAUGUGGAGGAAUACCGAUGGCGAAGGCAGCCCCCUGGGAUAACACUGACGCUCAGCACGAA